rnacentral:rRNA from 1 species
GUGGCUCCUGGGCAGAAAUCCAUGGCGCUCCUGGGCAGAAAGGAGAUAGGGAGAAUCUCAUACUGCAAAGGAUUGAUGGUCAGAUCAAGUGUAUUAAUGAAAUGUGCAACAUGAUGUCUCUUGAUAUUAAGAAGACAUUAUAUGAAGUUCAUCCCAGCUUUGUUGAAUUGGAAAGAAUCAAAUCCAUGAGUAUAAGUGAUAGCACACUUGAUAGGCUUGCAGGAAAAAUUCAUGCACUAAAUCAAGAAAAGAAACAGAGGCUCCGGAAGCUACAAGAUCAUGGAAGCACACUCAUUGAGUUAUGGAGUCUAAUAGACACACCAUUAGACGAACAGAAAUGCUUUGAUCAUGUUACUUCUUUGAUUUCAGUCUCACAAAAUACAGCGAUGCCCCAAGGAUGCCUUGCACAUGACCUUAUUAAGAAGUAAUUGUCAUGUGAAAUUCCUUUCCCCCGUUGUUUGGGUAGAGGUUGAGGUCAAGAGACUGAAGCAUUUGAAAGCUCGCAAAAUGGAAGAGCUUGUCUUAAAGAAAAUGACUGAGCUUGAAGAAAUCUACAAAAGUGUUCACAUGUACAUUGACAGCAAUCAUGAGUGGCAGAUUCUCACUGAACUUAUUGAUUCUGGUUCACUUCUUUCCCAUGCUUUUCAUCCUGAAGAUACAUAACUAAAGUUAUUAUAUAUAGUUUUGUUUCCAUUAAGAACUACCCGAUGCAUGAGCUAACUGGUGCUCCUUAGUUAUAUAAGGUUGCUGUUUCUGUCUCAUCUUAAAAUUCUGUGAAUUUCUUAGUCAAAUUCAAUGGUAGGUUCUGCAACUGUCUUUCAACUUUGUGCCUUCUAAGUAUCAGCUUGAAUAUUUAGGCAGAUCAAUUUGGAUACAAAAAUUGAAUAAGCUCUUAUGAAAACUAAAAGGGAAAAAAUAUUGCAACUUUGCAAGUCAUUGCGUCUCUCCUUCAAAGGACGAUUGCACAUUCAUGCUCUAGGAUUUUUUUACUGAGCUCACGGUUGUGAACUAUAUAUUUCCAUUUCUUUGGUAGUGAUAUUUGGUUAAGCUGGAGGUCCUAGCUAUAGAACAUCAACAGUGUAAAGUAUAUGCAUUGCUAGAGGGGGGGGAUUUGGAUACAAAAAUUGAAUAAGCUCUUAUGAAAACUAAAAGAGAAAAAAUAUUGCAAGUCAUUGCGUCUCUCCUUCAGAGGACGAUUGUGCAUUCAUGCUCUAGGAUUUUUAUUACUGAGCUCAAGGUUGUGAACUAUUUAUUUCCAUUUCUUUGGUAGUGAUAUUUGGUUAAACUGGAGAUCCUAGCUAUAGAACAUCAACAGUGUAAAGUAUAUGCAUUGCUGCUCAGAGGUUCUGUAGAUACAUCUUUACUGAUUUUUCAUUUUUAUCAUGUAUGCUUCAAUUCUUGCAUGCCAAAUAAACAUAAGUUCAUGUUUUAUUGUUUAGUUGUCUCAUGUUCGCUCUUCAUUAUUCUAUAUCAAAGUGAUGUCGUUCAAUGCGUUUGUCCCUUUCUGAUGUAGAAAUUGAUUUCCAUGAGGCAUGAACUCAAGGUGCAACAAUAUCAUUCUUCCUGGUGUUGCAUUAAAUAUACCUCUUAUUUGUUAAAAAAAUCCUCUGGAUUUGGGAUUAGUAUAUUAGGUAGACAUCUUUUGGUUAACGGCAGAUUUGAGCGCAGGGUAGAAUUCUUGGUUGAUUCUAGAAUUUCUUUGUAGAUUAGCUAGCAGAUUAGAACGUCUUUGGCAAGUUCUUUGUUGGUUAGGUCCAGCUCCCUUGGCACUGGACCCAGCAGACGCGUGUGCGUGUGCGGAUCUCCCAUGCAUCCACUGCACCACUUGUUGUUGGGUGGCAGUGGGGUAUCCAAGCGUGUGGAAGGCCUAUCCGCCAUGGCGGCGCAGCUUGGCUCCAAGGAGAGCAGUUCCAAGGCCCAACUAACAGGCUACCACAAUUCCUAGCCCAAUCGCGGACUAUAAUUAAAUUGCUUUAUUGAUCAAUCUAUCAGUUAAUCAUAGGCUACAACUAACCAGUGUAGUUUGGAUGUGCAGCACCAGAGACCAUUUGAUUGAAUUGGUGGUACAGUAAUACUAGCCUAAUACAAUUAUCAGAUCCUUUUGUCCUGUCAAGCAGAUGGACUUUUGUCCUGUCAAGCAGAUGGUUAAUUACUGGACAAGUAGAGCAUUGCAUUUUCUGUGUGCAAUCCACACUGACAAGCCUGCAGAGGCUACUUCAAGUCAAGCGGCUUUAGAAUUUCUUUACUAUGUGUACUCAUGUAGUAUUUAGGUUAGAAUAGUAUCAGAUUUGAUUGGUCCCUCAGUUCAUAACAGACAUUGACUGGUUACUUCUUUCUGGCUUUAACUUUGAAGCCUAAAUAACCACCUUUUGCUACUUAAUUGCGCUUGUAGUCAUUUGUGAUUCUCAGUUCAUGAAUAAUAUAUGUUGACAAGACAUAAAUUCAGAACUUCUGGCACAUAUGUACUUUAAUAUACUUGCACGCUUUAAUUUUGUCAUUGAAAUUGUUUCUUUGUUCUUCCAGGUUUUGGGUAGCCAAUCAAGUCAUGUAAUACUUUAUUGUACCAUUCCUUUUGAUGUUAGAUGUACAACAGUUUUAUGCUCAAAUAAAGAUAUAUAUGCAUACAAAUUAGUUGCUGGUUAUUCCUCCAUGAUAUAGUUUUCCAGUUAAAUGUAGUCUUGCGCUUGUGUGAUUGAAAACUAAGAAUGGAAAGGUGAAGCUGCACAUCAAACUAGAGUACAUGCAUAUGUGCAUACACUCUGCCCCUCCUCUGUUUCCAUUACUUUGAGCUACAGGAAAGGGAAAUUACAGCUAGAUGAAGUAGCAUAUGGGAGUAGCACUCACCUCUCCCUGUGAGGUUGCAUCGAGCUCUAAACUUCAAGUGAGUCUUCACGAGCUUGUGCUGUAUCUUGGGGUACUAGCAGAUCGCCUCUGCACGCGAUGCUGUUCAGCGGGGAACAACGGCAUGGAGCAGCUGCCACAACUUAUUUGGCGUGUCGGACGCAAGCGGUGCUACCUGCAAUAGCUCUCGCCUUGCCGACGGCGAUGGCCUUAGACGGCAGACCGCAUCUCACCUUGUGUGAGUCGCCUCUGAGCUCGAACUGAGGGGAACAUAGGCAUGGGAGCAGCUGCCACAACUUAGGCCCGGGCUUGGACGCACCGGAUGCGGGCCGUGCUACCCGCAAGGGAUCCCUACUUGCCGCCAGUGACGGCGAUGGCCCCGGACGGCGGACUGGCAUCUCACCGUCUCACUUUGUGGGAAACGCCUCAUUGAGGUCGAACUGAGGCAGCUAGAGGAGUCCAGGAGAUAAGGUAAGGGAAUGGAAAGAAAAAAUAAAAUAUGCCGUUUCAGUGGUGGGGCUGACCAGAACACGUAUUGGUCGCGUUUAGCCCUGCAGGAUAGCGCGUGCUGGGGGUAAAACAUGCAUAAUCCUAACUUGCUUACUCCGUUGCAACUCUUAUGACACGAAUUACUUGAUUACACCUGCCUGGCUGGUUCAAUUUUGGUAUUAUAUUUGCCCCCGCUUGCUUUGAUCUAGAUUCACUUUGUUGAUAUUGAAUUGGUCUUAAUGUUAACAUCAACAAUGGUUAUUCGAGUUUCAUAUUACUUUAGACAUAAUGUGCUUCAACUACGGCAUUUUGUAUUUUCCUUUUAAAUUUAUAUGGAACAUCGGAAACCCAGCCAUGGCGGCAGUGGCGUAGUACUUCACCUAACUCCCCUACGCCAUGUCUCAGCAAAACAAAGCGGAUGGAUCCGUGAUCCACAUUGAACAUAUAAACCCUGCUGGGGUGCUAGGCAGACUCGCGCUAUCCACGUAGGCUGUGAAUAGUUCAGCGACGCGAGACUCGGCGGUAGCGAGCGAAAGAAAAAGCAGCGAAGGCGGCAGCGAGCGAAAGAAAAAGGCAGCCCGCGUAACCCUAGCCGCCGCCCCCUCCUCCUCCUCCCACCUCACCCCUCCCCCCAGGGCGCCUCCUCCCCCUAGCCGCCGCCCCCUCCUCCUCCUCCCACCUCUGCCCCCCCGCAUCUCGUCUGCCCCGGGUGCGGAGGCGAGCUUCCCGACAACGGCGGCGACUUCGAUCUGCAGGAGAGAGAGGGAUGUGCGCCGGCGUCGGUUUCCCCAACCCCACAGCCGUCGCACGCCGCGCCACUCCGCGCCCCCUCUUUGCUCCACCACGCAGCUUCCUCCUCCCUGCUCACCUCCGGCGCAGCUCGUCGUAGUGGAGAGCAUGAGCGGCAUGGUCUUCAUGGUGGGGUGGAGCUGCAGUGGAGGGAAGGAUGCUUGACGGAUCCGGCGCGUGCAGGCUGAAGCGGCAGGAGUUGGUGGAUACGGCCGAUGCGGACGGGGUCGUUGACGGGGGCUGGGAGCUCGAGUUGGUUCACGGGGCGCCAUGAGGAGUGGAAGGCCGAGGUCGUUCGACGGGUGGAGCAGCAGGAGCAAUGAGCCAAUGGUGGUCAAUGGCUAACCUCUACCUCCUCUCUCUCUGUGGUUAAGAAGGCCAAAUAGAAGAAGCAAAGGAAUGGCGCAAAAGUCUUGCUGAGGUGCCCCCUCCAAGGCCCAGAUUCUUCUGAGGUGACCCUAUUGCUCCCCUCAAACCUAGCACCUUCGAUGCUGUGUCAUCAUCAAUUUUGAUACAUACAGUUCUGGAAGCUUUAGGAUUGGUCAUUGCUUAUAACUGUUGUGGGUAACAUGACCUUGUUUACUCCCUACAAUCUUCAUUCACACGUCUUUGAUGUUUAUUUUGCUAUUAGAUGAUGAAAAUCUAAAGAACGGACACACAACCAGAAGUUUACAUAUUUUGUUUGCUGGUAAUGUGUCAUCGUCAUCUUUGUUAGCCAGACUUGUCGGUUGUCCUACUUAAUUCCCACCUUAUCACGUUGCUCUUGAUUUUUAAUCAUGCUUGGAGCUUUGGUCUGCAGCUAUACAAAAUCAUAUGCUUUGGCUCUAGAUUAGGGUAAUGUUGGAACUUGGGAGGGAGUAACUAAGCCAUACAUUUGGCUCUAGGAUUUUCAGUUUGUAUUUGCCGGAUGUAGAAACAGCUUUCUAUGAGAUAACGAGUUGACGACACACCACAUUCGGUUGACUGUUGAGGCGUAAAUGGCACCCGAGUGCUGUAGUAUGCAGUAGCGACCGGCGAGGCAUCAGGAUGUGGCGAGGCAAGGCUGUGGAGUUCAUGAGUUUUCAGGCUGCACGGGAUGCAAGUUAAUGGAUAUUAGAACGUACAAAUGACUGGUGCAUAAGCUCCUUCGACUAUUUGAUUAAAGAGAAGGCAUGGGUUGACGCUACCAAUAUAUGUGUUGGCUACAGAGGCAUAGAAAUAAUAAUCGAUGCCCAAUUCCGUCUCUGCAUUUAAAGGAUGACUGCUUCAUAGCAGGCUUGCCUUGUGAUCAAACCUGACGAUGUGCAGCAUGGUGUGGGCACUGCCAUGGCAUGGCGAGGCACCCGCAAGGCACCACUUGCUUCCAUUCUGAGGUGGAUUAGCGCUCGGAUAGUCACGCGGAUCUCCAAACCAGCACCCUCCCACGGCGCAGUUCCACCGUGUUGACCGGCGCUUCCUACACCAUGGAUCAAAUAAACAGCCGCCUCAGCAUAGCCAUCCAGAAUGCUCUCCUGCCUCCGUUCCCCCUCAGAUUCUUAUAUAUCCACGAGGGGGACAUUUAUUAACAGAGGGUGUUACUCUUGGUGGCUGUAUUGAUCUCCCGUGCCACCAAUCUGACCGAUGGCUCCACUUCGACUUCGUCAACUCCACUGACUAUCUCGACUAUGUCAUACUGCAACCCCGAUGCCCACUGGUUAUGCAGUAACAUGCUUCUGAACACCAGGUUGCAACUCCAGCUUCGCAGACGAACUCGCUCAUUGCUCUAGAAGGUGCUUGGGCUUGUUUCUCUGACCGAUUGGCUGCGACAUCUCACAUGGAUCUUCACUGCCUCAUAGACCUAUUUUUUAUUCUCUCGUCAAUUCUACAUGUCUGCUCGUCCAUUGCAUGGUGCUAGAUGGUCCCUGUUUAGUUAAUCCAAGGUAAAUCAUAUGCAUAACCAUGGAAUGGCACAUACUGGCCUCAGGUUGUACAAAUUCAUCGCAAGGCCGGGUCAGUCCGAAAGUUCAAAGGGGAAAAAAUCCAUUUGAAAGCUGGAAAAUACAUUACUCGCUGCAAGCCUGGUGAGCAUUACGUAGAUGAGUUCGCUGCCCACUGUGUGUGUGGGAAAUACAGUUAAGUUGUAUAACAAAAAUAUUCGCAAUCUGUGAAAUAUCAUCAAAGACAAGAAAACACCUGACCAUUACUAUGUAUGCCACAUGACAGAAACAUUUUCUGCUGACGGCAAAAGAAUGUACUUUAGCACACACUUUUCUAAGAGAAGUCUCUUCCCGCACAUGGAUGCUGAUGAUGAGCUACCAAUCAGUGCAGGAGACGGGACCAUCAGUGUCAUGGCCCUCUUUAUCAUGGGCAUCGACAACAGGGCUACACUCACAAAGAACUGGAGCAGCUUCUUCCAUAAGGCAAACAUGAAGAAAGGAUGUGCAUAUGCUUUCGCCUUCAAGUGCGCGUCCAAGGGCCUCUGCAUGGUUGUCUAUCCAAUCUAAGCAGGUCACAAUAGUCCUUUGCUACAUAACUUGGUAUUACUAUAAGUACCGAUCGAGACUUAUAUCUGGCAUCAUUUUGGAUCUUAUGUAAGAAAAUUAUGAUAAUCCUGUCCGUAUGACUAUCAUCAAUCCGUACUUAUAUUCAUAUGUUUUCUUCUG